rnacentral:rRNA from 1 species
UACGGGAGGCAGCAGUGGGGAAUAUUGCACAAUGGGCGCAAGCCUGAUGCAGCCAUGCCGCGUGUAUGAAGAAGGCCUUCGGGUUGUAAAGUACUUUCAGUCGUGAGGAAGGUGUUAAGGUUAAUAACCUUAGCAAUUGACGUUAGCGACAGAAGAAGCACCGGCUAACUCCGUGCCAGCAGCCGCGGUAAUACGGAGGGUGCGAGCGUUAAUCGGAAUUACUGGGCGUAAAGGGCACGCAGGCGGUUAAUUAAGUUGGAUGUGAAAUCCCCGGGCUUAACCUGGGAAUGGCAUUCAAGACUGGUUAGCUAGAGUCUUGUAGAGGGGGUAGAAUUCCAUGUGUAGCGGUGAAAUGCGUAGAGAUGUGGAGGGAUACCGGUGGCGAAGGCGGCCCCUGGACAAAGACUGACGCUCAUGUGCGAAAGCGUGGGGAGCAAAC